rnacentral:rRNA from 1 species
GACGAACGCUGGCGGCGUGCUUAACACAUGCAAGUCGAACGGAGUGGCGAACGGGUGAGUAACACGUGGGUGACCUGCCCUGCACUUCGGGAUAAGCCUGGGAAACUGGGUCUAAUACCGGAUAGUGUGGGAUGGGCCCGCGGCAGAUCAGCGUGUUGGUGGGGUACGGGCCUACCAAGGCGGCGACGGGUAGCCGGCCUGAGAGGGGGGACGGACACAUGGGGACUGAGACACGGCCCAGAAUCCGACGGGAGGCAGCAGGGGGGAAUAUUGCACAAGGGGCGGAAGCCUGAGGCAGAGACGCCGCGUGGGGGAUGACGGCCUUCGGGUUGUAAACUCCUUUCACCAUCGACGCGGUAGAUGGAGAAGAAGCACCGGCUAACUACGUGCCAGCAGGCGCGGUAAUUC